AAAAGGAUGGAUGGAUGUUUAUUCAUGAAGCCCCAUCACACUUAGCAUGAAUGAAGCCAAAUCAGGCUGAAUGGGGAAAAAAAGGCAAACAC